rnacentral:rRNA from 1 species
CCUAACACAUGCAAGUCGAACGGCUCUUCGGAGCAGUGGCGGACGGGUGAGUAACGCGUGGGAACGUGCCCUUUGGUUCGGAACAACACAGGGAAACUUGUGCUAAUACCGGAUGAGCCCUUCGGGGGAAAGAUUUAUCGCCAUUGGAGCGGCCCGCGUUGGAUUAGGUAGUUGGUGGGGUAAGGGCCCACCAAGCCGACGAUCCAUAGCUGGUCUGAGAGGAUGAUCAGCCACACUGGGACUGAGACACGGCCCAGACUCCUACGGGAGGCAGCAGUGGGGAAUCUUGCGCAAUGGGCGAAAGCCUGACGCAGCCAUGCCGCGUGAAUGAUGAAGGUCUUAGGAUUGUAAAAUUCUUUCACCGGGGAAGAUAAUGACGGUACCCGGAGAAGAAGCCCCGGCUAACUUCGUGCCAGCAGCCGCGGUAAUACGAAGGGGGCUAGCGUUGCUCGGAAUUACUGGGCGUAAAGGGCGCGUAGGCGGACAGCUUAGUCAGAGGUAAAAGCCCAGGGCUCAACCUUGGAACUGCCUUUGAUACUGGCUGUCUUGAGUUCGGGAGAGGUGAGUGGAAUGCCGAGUGUAGAGGUGAAAUUCGUAGAUAUUCGGCGGAACACCAGUGGCGAAGGCGACUCACUGGCCCGAUACUGACG